rnacentral:rRNA from 1 species
UGCGUAGGCGGUAUCGUGUGUCGGAUGUGAAAUCUUAACUUUCAUGGUUGAAACUGCAUUCGAAACUGCGGAACUAGAGUACGGGAGAGGUGAGCGGAAUUCUUGGUGUAGCGGUGAAAUGCGUAGAUAUCAAGAGGAACGCCGGUGGCGAAGGCGGCUCACUGGAACGAUACUGACGCUGAGGCACGAAAGCGUGGGGAGCGAACAGGAUUAGAUACCCUGGUAGUCC